AUUGAACGCUGGCGGCAGGCCUAACACAUGCAAGUCGAGCGGAGCGGCGGACGGGGGGGUAAGGCCUAGGAAUCGACCUGGGAGUGGGGGAUAACGUCCGGUAACGGGCGCUAAUACAGCAUACUAUCAGACGAGCCUAGGGCGGAAUAGCUAGUUGGUGGGGUAAAGGCCUACCAAGGCAACGGGCCGUAACUGGUCUGAGAGGGUGAGCAGUCACACUGGAACUGAGACACGGUCCAGACUCCUACGGGAGGCAGCAGUGGGGAAUAUUGGACAAUGGGCGAAAGCCUGAGCCAGCCAUGCCGCGUGUGUGAAGAAGGUCUUCGGAUUGUAAAGCACUUUAAGCUGGGAGGCGUUACCCACAGAAUAAGCACCGGCUAACUUCGUGCCAGCAGCCGCGGUAAUUC
rnacentral:rRNA from 1 species